UCCGUGACGUUUUAUGCGGCGACGUUCAUUGGGACGAGGAAAGUGAUAUCGCAUACUUGUCCUAUUCAAUGUUAGACUCCAUAGAUUUGUCACCGCUGGUGAACCAAGUUGACCCGGCGAUAUGAGUCGCCUACAUAUAAAUAUAACCUUUUACAGAUAUCUACGGUAUAAUCUUAGCUUGAAUAAUACAUCGACGAAUCAAUUACAUACGGAAGAAUUUGGUAAACAGUAGAACAUAAUCUAUUCAGCAUAUUGUACCAAUAUAACGAUUAAUCCUAUAAUAUCAAAGGAAAUUACUCUUUCUUUUUGGAAAGUAACUCGUAAAACGAGGCCAACUACACUUGGUUACACUCCUCGCGAACGAUACGCUACACUUACACUGCUACACACUAGCAGGGGCAACCGAGGUAUCUCUUGCCAUGAACAUUCCCAAGUUUUGUUAACGGUUCUGUACACGUAGCGCCAAUCUACAUAAAUAUGUAGAUUCUCUAUGAAGAAUUUAUCCCUUUUAUCCCUACCAUUUUAGAAGCUAUGGCCCAGAGUGGUGCACAUACAUGUACGGUAUGUAGGUAGGUUACAUCAGUUACAAUACAAUGUAUGCACAUAAAUAUAAGCGAAGCAAAUCAUUCCGCAUUCGUAGCUUUCAUACCAUAGAUAUGUAUAUCCAAUGAUCUGUAUUACAGUAAUAAGACCUACUCCUGCAUACUUUUCUUACUCCCUAAGCUGGCGCGCAUAUCCCCACCAUUUUACUGCGCAUCCAAUCCGCAGUGGAUUCUGUCUCAGCGAUGAAUUAUCAGCCAAUUAGAGCAAAGAGAAUUUUUACAUCGACCCUCGCUAAUGGAUCAAGCUGCGGCCUUGAGGUGUAGGACCCAUUACUGUAUAAAAGUUGCAUAUGUACUUAUCAGUGUAAAUAUUUCAACUGAAUGAAUAUAAAAUAAUAAACAGUAAGUCACGAUGACUGAUAUGACAGUGUGUGUAAAAAUUAAUGAAAAUAAUGAGUGUAUUUAUGAAGAUAAUAGCAGCGUCGAACUGAAUGAAAAUAAUUUGAGCGUAUUAAUUUCGUGUUUUAAACAAACUCAGAUAAAAAUUAAUCAUUUCUUGACUAACUUAAUAGAAAAACAAGACAGUUCCGUCAAUGCCGAAAAUCGGCUAACAUCGGAAAGCGAGUCGGAUUUUGAAGAGGAGAUCGAAGUUAACCCUAAGAAAUGCAAAUUGAUCGAUUAACAGUAUAUCAUAAUUGUUUAUUGCAUUUGUUGUUGUAGAUUUUUUUGUAUGGCACUUGAAAAUAGUACACAGUAGUUCGUUUUCAUACGAUGUGAUGGAUUUGUCGUUGCAACCGUGUUAACAAGUAUCUUGCCCUGCAAGUUUUGUGAUGCUGGAAAGCGAUAAAUCGAUUAUAAGAGAACGAAAGUUACAUCACCGGUAAAGGAAAACGUGACCG